rnacentral:rRNA from 1 species
GGGGAAUAUUGCACAAUGGGCGCAAGCCUGAUGCAGCGACGCCGCGUGAGGGAUGACGGCCUUCGGGUUGUAAACCUCUUUCAGUGCCGACGAACCGGAAGUGACGGUAGGCACAGAAGAAGGACCGGCCAACUACGUGCCAGCAGCCGCGGUAAUACGUAGGGUCCGAGCGUUAUCCGGAAUUACUGGGCGUAAAGAGCUCGUAGGUGGUUUGUCGCGUUGUCCGUGAAAACUCACAGCUUAACUGUGGGCGUGCGGGCGAUACGGGCAGACUAGAGUACGGCAGGGGAGACUGGAAUUCCUGGUGUAGCGGUGGAAUGCGCAGAUAUCAGGAGGAACACCGGUGGCGAAGGCGGGUCUCUGGGCAGUAACUGACGCUGAGGAGCGAAAGCGUGGGGAGCGAAC